rnacentral:misc_RNA from 1 species
GAUGAAGAACGUAGUGAAAUGCGAUAAGUAGUGUGAAUUGCAGAAUUCAGUGAAUCAUCGAAUCUUUGAACGCACAUUGCGCCCUUUGGUAUUCCUUAGGGCAUGCCUGUUCGAGCGUCAUUUGAAACCUCAAGCUCAGCUUGGUGUUGGGUGUCUGUCCCCGCCUCACCGCGGGGACUCGCCUCAAAAUCAUUGGCGGCCGGUACGUUGGCUUCGAGCGCAGCAGAAACGCGAACUCGAGGCCCGGCGGAUCGGCGACCAGAAGUCACUUCUUCACAGUUUGACCUCGGAUCAGGUAGGGAUACCCGCUGAACUUAAGCAUAUCAAUAAGCUGAGGA